rnacentral:tRNA from 1 species
UCUGGGUGGUGUAGUUGGUUAUCACGUUAGUCUCACACACUAAAGGUCCCCAGUUCGAACCUGGGCUUAGA